rnacentral:rRNA from 1 species
AUGAACGCUGGCGGCGUGCCUAACACAUGCAAGUCGAGCGGAGAUUUCCGAAGUAGAAAUACGGGGGAGAUUUUAGCGGCGGACGGGUGAGUAACACGUGAGCAAUCUGCCUUUUGCUGGGGAAUAACAUUGUGAAAACAGUGCUAAUACCGCAUGACAUACCGGGGGGGCAUCCUUCUGGUAUCAAAGGAGAAAUCCGGCAGGAGAUGAGCUCGCGUCCGAUUAGCUGGUUGGUGAGGUAACGGCCCACCAAGGCGACGAUCGGUAGCCGGACUGAGAGGUCGAACGGCCACAUUGGGACUGAGACACGGCCCAGACUCCUACGGGAGGCAGCAGUGGGGAAUAUUGGGCAAUGGGGGAAACCCUGACCCAGCAACGCCGCGUGAAGGACGAAGGCCUUCGGGUUGUAAACUUCUUUGAUCAGGGACGAAAAAAAUGACGGUACCUGAAGAACAAGCCACGGCUAACUACGU